rnacentral:rRNA from 1 species
CAAUAGCGUAUAUUAAAGUUGUUGCAGUUAAAAAGUUCGUAGUUGGAUUUCGGGGCAGCCUGGCUGGUCCGCCGCAAGGCGAGUACUGGUCAGCCGCCCUUCCUCUCGAAAGCCCCGACUGCUCUUUAUUGCAGUGGUCGGGUAGUUCGGGACGUUUACUUUGAAAAAAUUAGAGUGUUCAAGGCAGGCCUACGCCUGAAUACAUUAGCAUGGAAUAAUGGAAGAGGACCUCGGUCCUAUUUUGUUGGUUUCCAGGACCGAAGUAAUGAUUAAGAGGGACAGUUGGGGGCAUUCGUAUUUAAUUGUCAGAGGUGAAAUUCUCGGAUUUAUGAAAGACGAACAACUGCGAAAGCAUUUGCCAAGGAUGUUUUCAUUAA